rnacentral:rRNA from 1 species
AGAGUUUGAUCAUGGCUCAGAACGAACGCUGGCGGCGCGCUUAACACAUGCAAGUCGAACGGGAUUAAAGGGCUUGCUCUUUAAUCUAGUGGCGCACGGGUGAGUAACGCGUGGAUAACCUGCCCUGGUAACCGGGAUAACAUACCGAAAGGGGUGCUAAUACCGGAUAAGCCCACGGGGUCCUCGGACCCGGCGGGAAAAAGAGGCCUCUGAUGCAAGCUUCCGCACCAGGAUGGGUCCGCGUCCCAUUAGCUGGUUGGUGAGGUAACGGCCCACCAAGGCGACGAUGGGUAGCUGGUCUGAGAGGACAAUCAGCCACACUGGAACUGAGACACGGUCCAGACUCCUACGGGAGGCAGCAGUGGGGAAUUUUGCGCAAUGGGCGAAAGCCUGACGCAGCGACGCCGUGUGAGUGAUGAAGGCCUUCGGGUCGUAAAGCUCUGUCGGAGGGAAAGAAAUGUAGUGAUGCCCAAUACCCAUCAUUACUUGACGGUACCCUCAAAGGGAAGCACCGGCUAACUCCGUGCCAGCAGCCCGCGGUAAUACGGAGGGUGCGAGCGUUGUUCGGAUUUAUUGGGCGUAAAGCGCGUGUAGGCGGUUUUCCAAGUCUGAUGUGAAAGCCCCGGGCCCAACCCGGGAAGGGCAUUGGAAACUGGGAGACUUGAGUACGGGAGAGGAGAGUGGAAUUCCUGGUGUAGGGGUGAAAUCCGCAGAUAUCAGGAAGAACACCGGUGGCGAAGGCGGCUCUCUGGACCGAUACUGACGCUGAGACGCGAAAGCAUGGGGAGCAAACAGGAUUAGAUACCCUAGUAGUCC